rnacentral:tRNA from 1 species
GCGCCAUUAGCUCAGUUGGUAGAGCAGCUGACUCUUAAUCAGCGGGUCCGGGGUUCGAGUCCCUGAUGGCGCA